CUUUAUUAUGUACUUAUUAUACCAUAUUGUAAUUGUCUAUUUAUAUGAGUUAAACAAAAAAUUUUGAGGACUGUUUAAUCUGCUGUGAGUAACAAAUAUUGUUCUAAGUGCUUGAGGUCAACCAGAAAGCCAAGAUGUCCCUGUGCAGCUUAUAAUCAUAUUAGUUCAGAAAUGCAAUUGUUUUCCGGUAGUAAUUAGUACUGUGAUAGGAUUUGAGGGGGUUGUGGUUGCUCUAGAAAGAAUAACUAGCAAAAAAUUAGAAGAAGCUAAUCAUGCAGUGGCAUGGCAAAUAGGGAGUACAGAGGUAUUGAGACUGAGAACAAGAGUAGCUUGCCCCAGGGGCAGAAAGAGGCUCAUUAUGUACCUGAAGCACAAUGAAAAAGGGAUAGAAAAUUGAAGAGGAGACCAGACCACACAAAGUCUUGUUGCCAUGAUUUGGGGCUUUAAUCUAAGGUGGAUGAGAAGAAAACCUUUGAAAUGUUUUAAGCAGAGAAGUAGCCUGAUCUGAUUUGUAUUUAAAAAGAUUAUUCUGACUGGAGUAUGGAAGACGGAUUAGAGAGGGCUUGCAAAGUAAAUCAACUAUUGGUGUCCAGGAGCAAGGCUGAUGGUCACCUGGCAAGUAUUAAGCUGUUGUCUGGGUUCUUAUAACCAGUAUCUGUUGACUGGAUGCAGUUCUAAUUGGUUGGUACCAUUAUCCGUGAUUAAAGAUUUUGCUUAUUUCCCAGUAAUCCUUAGAAGUUCAAGGUGGCUCAAAUUCAGGUGAGAAUGUGAACAUAUAGGCUAAGUAGAUCUGGAAAGACUCACUGAUGUAAGAUAGGGGACUGGAGGGAAAAGAAGCAGUAAGACUGACUAUAUGUUGCUUGUCUAUGGAAUUCAUGCUUCUUGAAGGCAGAGGUGAUCUGUGGUGCGCUGUUCGAUCCUUAGUAUCUAUUACAAUACUAAGGAUCACACAUCCUGCUGAAUGGAAUUGAAUUGUGUUGUUAGGGUUUGGAUCUGGAAUGUCCUCCAAAGACCCAUGUGUUAAAGGCUUGGUCUCCAACUCGGCAUUAUUGGGAGGUGGUAGAAACUUUAGAAGGCAGGGCCUAUUGGAAGGUCUUUUUGUCAUUGGGAGUGUGUCCUUGAGAGGAUAGUGGGCCCCAGCCCCUUCCUCUUUCUCUUUUACUUCCCACACGAGGAGAACCAUCAGCAUCAUCACAUGUUUCCCACCAUGAUGUGCUGCCUCAUCACAAGCCCAG
rnacentral:lncRNA from 1 species